rnacentral:rRNA from 1 species
UAGCUAGUUGGUGGGGUAAGGGCCUACCAAGGCGACGAUCGGUAGCUGGUCUGAGAGGAUGACCAGCCACACUGGAACUGAGACACGGUCCAGACUCCUACGGGAGGCAGCAGUGGGGAAUAUUGGACAAUGGGGGGAACCCUGAUCCAGCAAUGCCGCGUGUGUGAAGAAGGCCUGAGGGUUGUAAAGCACUUUCAGUGGGGAGGAGGGUUGAUAGGUUAAGAGCUAAUUAACUGGACGUUACCCACAGAAGAAGCACCGGCUAACUCCGUGCCAGCAGCCGCGGUAAUACGGAGGGUGCGAGCGUUAAUCGGAAUUACUGGGCGUAAAGCGUGCGUAGGUGGUUGAUUAAGUUAUCUGUGAAAUCCCUGGGCUUAACCUGGGCAGGUCAGAUGAUACUGGUUGACUCGAGUAUGGGAGAGGGUAGUGGAAUUUCCGGUGUAGCGGUGAAAUGCGUAGAGAUCGGAAGGAACACCAGUGGCGAAGGCGGCUACCUGGCCUAAUACUGACACUGAGGCACGAAAGCAUGGGGAGCAAACAGGAUUAGAUACCCUGGUAGUCCACGCUGUAAACGAUGUCAACUAGCUGUUGGUUAUAUGAAAAUAAUUAGUGGCGC